rnacentral:rRNA from 1 species
UACGGAGGGUGCAAGCGUUGUUCGGAAUUAUUGGGCGUAAAGCGCGCGCAGGCGGGCCACUAAGUCUGAUGUGAAAUCCCUCGGCUCAACCGAGGACGUGCAUUGGAUACUGGUGGCCUUGAGUCCUGGAGAGGGUGGCGGAAUUCCCAGUGUAGAGGUGAAAUUCGUAGAUAUUGGGAGGAACACCAGCGGCGAAGGCGGCCACCUGGACAGUGACUGACGCUGAGGCGCGAAAGCGUGGGUAGCAAACAGG